rnacentral:rRNA from 1 species
GAUGAACGCUGGCGGCGUGCCUAAUACAUGCAAGUCGAGCGAACGGACGAGAAGCUUGCUUCUCUGAUGUUAGCGCCGGACGGGUGAGUAACACGUGGUUAACCUCCCUAUAAGACUGGGUUAACUUCGGGAAACCGUAGCUAAUACCGGAUAAUAUUUUGAACCGCAUGGUUCAAAAGUGAAAGACGGUCUUGCUGUCACUUAUUGAUGGAUCCGCGGUGCAUUAGCUAGGUGGUAAGGUAACGGCUUACCAAAGCAACGAUGCAUAGCCGACCUGGGAGGGGGGGCGGACAAACUAGAGUGGAGACGCGGUCCAGACUCGUACGGGAGGCGGGAGAAGGGAAUCGUCCGCAAUGGGCGGAAGGCUGACGGGACAACGCCACGUGGGUGAUGAAGGUCUUCGGAUCGUAAAGCUCUGUUAUUAGGGAAGAAAAUAUGUGUAAGUAACUGUGCACAUCUUGACGGGACCUAAUCAGAAAGCCACGGCUAACUACGUG